GCCAUAGAGCGGCGCCUUCAUGGCGCUGAUCAGGCGGUGACACGCCGCGGACGCGCCGAG
rnacentral:misc_RNA from 1 species